UGCUGCAUAAAAGCGAUUAACAAGCGCACACCUGGGUUAAGGCACAAGGCCUUUAGCAUGUGCAUCUUUCAAGCCAAAAAAGGGGGGUUUGGGGGGGGAUUAGGAUCCAGGAAAGGAAAAGGAAAUCUUCUGCAGGAGCAAAAGAGACAAACUCAUGAGACUUGAGAAGACAAUAGAGAACAAACAACUUGAGAAGAUCAUCAACGAUCUCAAACGGAAGAAGUGCAGGAAAGAGAGAUCUUCACAGAAUUCUUCUUUCUUCUAAUUCCUUUCUUUAUUUUUUUCUUUUGGUAAACAUUAGACUGCCUGCAUCUUUUUUUUCCUCUAUUUCUUUUCUUUUCUCUAUUGGGGAAAAUAGAGAAUCAAGUUCUGCUGCUAAGCCUCCAUUUCUUGUUUUCUUCUUCUCCUAGUGCGCUUCUUCUUUCUAUGGCCUGUGGAAGCCUCUGUCAUUUUUUUUUUCUUUUCGGGAAAGAGAUAACUAUUUAUAGUUAAGAGACAUAAAGUGAUUUGUCUUUUGAUGAUAAUCAGAAAACUCAAAAAACUUAAUUAAUAUACACCAAGAUGGUGUUAGGUUUAUUAUAAAAACAUUAAAUAGAAGGAUGCAUAAGCUCCCCAAGAACCAAGCUAAUCGUCUAUACAGUAAGGAACUUCCUGUUUAGACCAAAAGAGCACUAGGAAAAACAGAGGAUUAUAAUUUAACAAUGAAUGUCCAGUUCCCUCAAACGUUAUCAUACUCCUCUCUCUCUGCAUUUCUAGAAAUUUAUUGCACGGAGCGGUUCUCCAUAACUUUCUCCUAUCACAUUUAGCUUAUCCAAUCUCCAACUCACCAGUACUCUUUUCUCGAGAAAAAAACAAUGGAUGUUGAAAAUGAAGAACAUCAUGGCUCAUAGUUUUGUUGCAGACUUACAAUAGGUGAUCCACGCGUUCAUCAUGAUUUUUACACGUGAACACCAAUUGACCACUAUGCAUCUCCUUCUUCUUGGGUUGUUAAAAUUGGCUUUGAACUCAAGUAAGGUCGUUGAGUUGUUAAAAUUGCUCUCGACAUUGCAUACCAUGUAAAAAGUACCUCUUAGGUACCUCCAUUUUCCAUGUUGUUGACCAAAUGGAUAUUGUACACCUUCAUCAAGUAAGAAGUUAUAGAUGUCGUCAUGUCGUUACUUAAAAACAUUUUCAUUAGGAGCUAAAUUUGGAUUAGUAUAUAAAAGAUUUGGACUAGAGCAAGAAACUAGGUUAAAAUAAGUAUUAGGUUAGAGUGGAAUGAGAAUUUGAGAGUGAGCAGAGAAGUAGGAUUCCAAUCCUAAACCUAAACCUAAUAUAGGAGCAAGUGAAGAAUUAGGAUCCCAAUUUAACCCAAACCAUAGACGUAGUCCUUAUUCUAAUCUAAGUCCUAAUCCAAGUCCUUGUAGUAACACAGGUCUAAAUCCUAAACCUAAUAUUUGUUCCUAAUUCUAGCACCCAGUUCUACUUCUAAUUCUGAUCCUACUACUAUCAUGGGAAACUUACUCUAUUCAUCAGCUUCAGCUUUAGAAAAGCAGCUAUUUGGUCUGAAUGGAGCUCCAAACAAACUUGGUUCCAAAAGACAGCAUGACCCACAAAUAAUUACAGGACCAAAGCCGAUAAAAUCAGCACAUGUGAUACUAUGUGUGACUAAAGAUAAAAAAGUCAAAUUUUCUGAAGAUGGAAUUUCUCUCAUUCAUAAUGUUGUAACAUAGCCAUAGUUUCAUUUGGAGGCAGAAGCCAAUAUGGUAACCAACUACCCAUAUGGCAUUGUUUCAUGGAAUGUGAUUCACUCAAGAAUGAAUAUUAAUCUUCAAAAAAUGGAGUUUAGGCCUAUCUUAACUCCAAAAGCUAGCUAUGAGAAUUGCCCAAGCCCAUAAAAGGAGACAACAGUCCUUUCUCUCAACCAAUAUGGAAAAUUCUGACACUGCACCCUCCACCUAUGCCCCAGACCUGAACAUUGUGGAUAACAUAACAUGGGGGCCCAACAUUGAGAAACACAACAAUAAAGAUGAGUUUGGCUCUAAUACCAUGUAAAGAAAAUGGACCUUGGGCCUAAUUCAAUCUCAAAAGCUAGCUCAUGAGAUGAGAAUUGUCCCAAACCAAACAAGGAGAGAACAAUGUACUCCUUCAACGAAUAUCUAACAGAAACAAGAAAAGCACAUCUAUUUAAUGGCUUGUUAAUAUGAAUCCUAAUAGCAAUUACAACGAAAGUGUGAUGCGCCUCAUGUAUUAACAAAUAUUGACUAGAGCCAUUUCAAACCUUAAUUUCAUAUCAUGUAUAUGAAAGGAGAAAGAAAAAUAUAUAUCUUUGUUUCUUUAGGAACAAGCUCUGAGUGAGGUGACAUAACAAAUGUUAAGAUAUUUGAAAGAAAAAAAUUUAGUUGGGUGUUUGAUAUAUAAUCAAGUUAUAGUAUAUCAAAUAUACUCAAAGGGAAAGAGUAGCAUAUUCUCUUUAAAAGAUAUUUGAAAGAGAAGGAAGACCAAAGAACAUGAGGACCCAUACCUCAUGCAUGCUAAAAAGGUCUAAGAACGUAUAUUAAUAAUAUAGAUAAAUGAGAAAGUGAGGAUGAAGAAGCAAAAGUCUAUUUCUAUCCUAUGAGGCGGGGACAAGGGCACAAUUGUUUAAGGAACAAAAUAAAGCUGUAACAGAUAUAGGAAUGUCAUAAUUAUGAGACUGAGGUGGGAUAGUCAUUGUGAAGCGGUGUGCAUGAUUUAAAAAAUGAUGCAAAACAAAAGUAAAAUGCACCCUUGCCUGACACCAAAAGAUUUUUUAGCAUCAAGAGGGGGAUUUUUUCAUUAACUUAUUCUCCACCCCACCACUCCAAUCUUCCAUUAGUGAAAUGCGGUAAUUCAAACCACCCGACCUUUCCAAUCUUCUAUCCUGUGAACCAUCACGUGGAAUGGUACUAUUACCUCAAUCCUUGAAGGUCCAGAUGCAGCAGCUCCUAACUCCCAUCAGGGCUAACCACCUCCUAAUAACACAGAAAUUGUUAGCACUGUCACACCUACUCUGCAACUUCAUAAUACCAUGGUAAAGAAGUUUUCAGCUGUAAACCCCUAGAGACAAAAUUCUCAACCCCGUGGAUUUGGCAAUAAAAUACUUUGAGAUUCAUCAAGUACCUAAUACUAUGAAGAUAAGCUAUAUCCGGAUAGAUAUAAAAGGGGGGAUCCACCGAUAGUUUGACAGUUCUAUGAUAGAUUAUGGUGGGUAAUUUGUACGAAGACAUCAUUUGUGAUGUUUAUAGAAGGUCUGGAAACACUAGAUUUCUGGAUAGAGAUUGACAAAUUCAGUGAGCUCAGUAGGCCAAUGACGUGGAAGCUUAUCUAUAGAAGUUUGAAGAACUGAGGUCUUACAUGCUCAUUAAAAGACCCUUCAUUCAUGUGAAUCCAAUUCCUGUUUCAAUUAGAGACUAAUGCCUAGGAUAUUUAACCUAAUAGUACCUAUAAAAAAGAUAAGGAUAUCUAAUCCAACAAUUCUAACAGAUCGUAAGAAGGAGCAAAGUAGCACGAGGAAUCUAUCAAUGGGAUUAACAAACUUCUACUCCAUAGUCCAAUUACCCUCCAAUAACAAAUCUGAACACCAAGCACCUACACAACGGUUCCUCAGCCAUAUUUCCAUACUAUCGAGUCUUCCACUUACAAACCUUUUCAACUUUCUGUAACCUUACAUACAAUCGACCAAGAGAAUAGAAGUUAGAAGUACUUUAUCGAUGCAAGCAAAAACCCCUCAAUGCCAAUGAAGGAGGGGAUAGCAGAAAAUAUUGGGGAGGUUGAUGCAGAGGCAAUUCAAGAGAGCGUGACACUGAAUGGUGUCCACGGGUGUCAAAUUCCCCCAUGACCAUCCAAAUUGUUCGAACCACUAAGAGGUGGGCAUAAAAGCAGCUCAAAUUCAGGGUUAUUCUUGGCAAUAUGGCCAUGCAAGUUACUACGGGCAAUGAUCACAUUCACAGGACCUUAUGGUCAAAAAUUCAGUAAAUAUGUGUCAAUAAUAGCUUUCUAGAAAACAAUACGCACUUAUACAAGAAGCUGACCCACUUGAAAAUAAUGCAAACUAUACAUCAACUUGGGAGAAGACGUAAAACCUUAGAACGCACACAGCCCUAGAGCCAAACCUAAACAGGCAAUAGGCUGACACAUGACUUAUACCAUCAGCUACAAUCGAACUUGUUGAGAUAUGCAAGGUGAAUCUUUCAUUUUCAAUUUCAGAAUGCAUAAGGUUAACCUCAAGUUAGAAAUGGAUUGAUUGACCUCUAUUCCCCGAUUAUGUUAGACUUGUGACGUAACCAAGUGUCCUUCUGGUGAUGAUAAGGGAGAAUCAACGGGUACUAGGUGGGCUCACAGAAGGAAAUGGCUGCUUAAACUUUUUCAGCAAUGUGUUAUUCAAGUGUUCUCCAUUGCAACAGCCAACAAGUAUAUAAACUCUAUGAACUGACGGAGUAAAAAAGAUUUACACAAUGAAGUCACUUAAAAGGCAACAGCAGGUAGCUCUCUACACAAACAUAAAUUAGUAACCUUAAGAAAAUGGAAAGCAAUCUUCUAUAAGGUGAAAGUACACUGAUAAUGUAAAAUAUGUUUACACUGUAAGGGCAUAUAACUUAAACUCUUGCAACAAAGCUGAACAAAGAGAAUCCCCUAUAAUCUGUUUGAUUUCUAGUUUGUUAGAGUCAGUUAAAACUUAAAAAGAAUUUCUAGCUGGAGCAUGUCAGCUCUCGGCUCCAUAAAUUGAGGUUACAAUCACACGAACUUCCAUUUUAGCUUCUUAUAAUUGUUCCUUAUUUCUUUUACUCGCAAUCAGUAAUCACAAGUUCACAACAAUCACGUAUCCAUAUUGCUUCAUAAAUUCAUCCAUAAACAUUAAACUAAUGAGAUAAAAUAGAAUUUACCAUUUGUUGGUUCGGUUUCUGCUGAUUGAGGAAUUACAACUGAGGAACAACGACAUCAGUUAUCAACACUUUACCCCGUGUAAACACCUUAAAAUUGUAUCAUUUGCUUCUUAGAUUGCUCCAGUUUGGAGAGAGCGGCUGUUAUUGAACAACUUUUUUGGCUUUUUUUCUCGUUUUCUGAACUAAAAUGCGUUUUUCUUCGUUAAUGGCAUGAGGCCCAUUGCCCAAUUGUUGAGCGAUUGAUUCUGUUUUCAUUUUUCCUUCUUUCUUUUUUUUUUAGCCGCCAACCCCAUCGUUUGGUUUUAGGUAUCAAAACUCACUCUAAUGUCUGAACCAUAGAAAUAUGACUCUGAUUUAACUAUCAAAAUGCAC
rnacentral:lncRNA from 1 species